rnacentral:rRNA from 1 species
UGAGUACGAGAUGCUACGGCGUCGAAGCAGUCUAGGUCAUACUUCCAAGAAAAGCUUGCACUGUCAUAAACAAAGAAUGCCUGUACCAUAACCGACACAGGUGGGUAGGUAGAGUAUACUAAGGGGCGCGAGAUAACUCUCUCUAAGGAACUCGGCAAAAUGACUCCGUAACUUCGGGAGAAGGAGUGCCUUAUUUUUAAGGUUGCAAUAACAAGAUCCAAGCAACUGUUUACCAAAAACACAGGUCUCCGCUAAGUCGUAAGACGAUGUAUGGGGGCUGACGCCUGCCCAGUGCCAGAAGGUUAAAGAAGUUGGUUAGCAUUUGCGAAGCUGAUAACUGAAGCCCUGGUGAACGGCGGCCGUAACAAUAACGGUCCUAAGGUAGCGAAAUUCCUUGUCGGGUAAGUUCCGACCCGCACGAAAGGCGUAAUGAUUUGGAUACUGUCUCGGAGAGGGGCUCGGUGAAAUAGACUUGUCUGUGAAGAUGCGGACUACCUGCACCUGGACAGAAAGACCCUAUGAAGCUUUACUGUAACUUGAGAUUGAAAUUGGACUUUAUUUGCGCAGUAUAGGUGGGAGGCGUUGAGAAUAAUCUUGCGGGAUUAUCGGAGCCAUCAGUGAGAUACCACUCUUGUAAUGUUAGAUUUCUAACUUUGUAUCAUUAUCUGGUCAAAGAACAGUUUCAGGCGGGCAGUUUGACUGGGGCGGUCGCCUCCCAAAGGGUAACGGAGGCGCACAAAGGUUUCCUCUGAACGGGUAGAAAUCGUAUCUAGAGUGUAAAGGCAUAAGGAAGCUUGACUGUGAGACCUACAAGUCGAGCAGGGACGAAAGUCGGUCUUAGAGAUCUGACGGUGCUGAGUGGAAAGGCCGUCACUCAACGGAUAAAAGUUACUCUAGGAUAACAGGCUGAUCUCCCCCAAGAGUUCACAUCGACGGGGAGGUUUGGCACCUCGAUGUCGGCUCAUCGCAUCCUGGGGCGGUAGUACGUCCCAAGGGUUGGGCUGUUCGCCCAUGAAAGCGGUACGCGAGCUGGGUUCAGAACGUCGUGAGACAGUUCGGUCCAUAUCCGGUGUAGGCGUUAGAAUAUUGAAAGGAGCCUUCUCUAGUACGAGAGGACCGAGAAGGACAUACCUCUGGUGUGCCAGUUAUCGUGCCAACGGUAAACGCUGGGUAGCUAUGUAUGGAGUGGAUAACCGCUGAAAGCAUCUAAGUGGGAAGCCCACCUUAAGAUAAGUAUUCUCAC